rnacentral:rRNA from 1 species
GAUGAACGCUGGCGGCGUGCCUAAUACAUGCAAGUCGAGCGAACGGACGAGAAGCUUGCUUCUCUGAUGUUAGCGGCGGACGGGUGAGUAACACGUGGAUAACCUACCUAUAAGACUGGGAUAACUUCGGGAAACCGGAGCUAAUACCGGAUAAUAUUUUGAACCGCAUGGUUCAAAAGUGAAAGACGGUCUUGCUGUCACUUAUAGAUGGAUCCGCGCUGCAUUAGCUAGUUGGUAAGGUAACGGCUUACCAAGGCAACGAUGCAUAGCCGACCUGAGAGGGUGAUCGGCCACACUGGAACUGAGACACGGUCCAGACUCCUACGGGAGGCAGCAGUAGGGAAUCUUCCGCAAUGGGCGAAAGCCUGACGGAGCAACGCCGCGUGAGCGAUGAAGGUCUUCGGAUCGUAAAACUCUGUUAUUAGGGAAGAACAUAUGUGUAAGUAACUGUGCACAUCUUGACGGUACCUAAUCAGAAAGCCACGGCUAACUACGUGCCAGCAGCCGCGGUAAUACGUAGGUGGCAAGCGUUAUCCGGAAUUAUUGGGCGUAAAGCGCGCGUAGGCGGUUUUUUAAGUCUGAUGUGAAAGCCCACGGCUCAACCGUGGAGGGUCAUUGGAAACUGGAAAACUUGAGUGCAGAAGAGGAAAGUGGAAUUCCAUGUGUAGCGGUGAAAUGCGCAGAGAUAUGGAGGAACACCAGUGGCGAAGGCGACUUUCUGGUCUGUAACUGACGCUGAUGUGCGAAAGCGUGGGGAUCAAACAGGAUUAGAUACCCUGGUAGUCCACGCCGUAAACGAUGAGUGCUAAGUGUUAGGGGGUUUCCGCCCCUUAGUGCUGCAGCUAACGCAUUAAGCACUCCGCCUGGGGAGUACGACCGCAAGGUUGAAACUCAAAGGAAUUGACGGGGACCCGCACAAGCGGUGGAGCAUGUGGUUUAAUUCGAAGCAACGCGAAGAACCUUACCAAAUCUUGACAUCCUUUGACAACUCUAGAGAUAGAGCUUUCCCCUUCGGGGGACAAAGUGACAGGUGGUGCAUGGUUGUCGUCAGCUCGUGUCGUGAGAUGUUGGGUUAAGUCCCGCAACGAGCGCAACCCUUAAGCUUAGUUGCCAUCAUUAAGUUGGGCACUCUAAGUUGACUGCCGGUGACAAACCGGAGGAAGGUGGGGAUGACGUCAAAUCAUCAUGCCCCUUAUGAUUUGGGCUACACACGUGCUACAAUGGACAAUACAAAGGGCAGCGAAACCGUGAGGUCAAGCAAAUCCCAUAAAUUUGUUCUCAGUUCGGAUUGUAGUCUGCAACUCGACUACAUGAAGCUGGAAUCGCUAGUAAUCGUAGAUCAGCAUGCUACGGUGAAUACGUUCCCGGGUCU